rnacentral:rRNA from 1 species
GGAUCAGCAUGCCGCGGUGAAUACGUUCCCGGGCCUUGUACACACCGCCCGUCACACCACGAGAGUUUGUAACACCCGAAGUCGGUGGGGUAACCAGGCCAUUCACUGAGUAUCUGAAUAUUAUAAUCGGAAACUCAGUGAAUGGCCCGGGGCCAGCCGCCUAAGGUGGGACAGAUGAUUGGGGUGAAGUCGUAACAAGGUAGCCGUAUCGGAAGGUGCGGCUGGAUCACCUCCUUU